GAGCCCGGAGGUCACCAUCCGACAGCGCGUCGCGCCCUCGGGUGGUUUUUG
rfam:Ensifer sp. LCM 4579 contig_12, whole genome shotgun sequence.